rnacentral:rRNA from 1 species
AGAGUUUGAUCCUGGCUCAGAUUGAACGCUGGCGGAAUGCUUUACACAUGCAAGUCGAACGGCAGCACGGGGCAACCUGGUGGCGAGUGGCGAACGGGUGAGUAAUACAUCGGAACGUGCCCAAUCGUGGGGGAUAACGUAGCGAAAGUUACGCUAAUACCGCAUACGAUCUACGGAUGAAAGCGGGGGAUCGCAAGACCUCGCGCGAAUGGAGCGGCCGAUGUCAGAUUAGGUAGUUGGUGGGGUAAAGGCUCACCAAGCCAACGAUCUGUAGCUGGUCUGAGAGGACGACCAGCCACACUGGAACUGAGACACGGUCCAGACUCCUACGGGAGGCAGCAGUGGGGAAUUUUGGACAAUGGGCGCAAGCCUGAUCCAGCCAUUCCGCGUGCAGGAUGAAGGCCUUCGGGUUGUAAACUGCUUUUGUACGGAACGAAACGGUCUGCCCUAAUACGGUGGGCUAAUGACGGUACCGUAAGAAUAAGCACCGGCUAACUACGUG